GUCAGCGGGGAUAGCUCGUUUAACACACCAGUUCCCAAUGGGAUCACUCAAGUUGAGCAACGUACGCGUGGUUAGUAUCCGGAUAUGGAUGACCGCAUCAGGGCAAUCACGUGUUGCUGGCU
rnacentral:rRNA from 1 species